AUUCGGCUGACAACACGACGAUUGCUUCUUCUUUUCCAGCUCUCUUCACUCGGUUAUUUACAUUUUAAUGAACUCUUGAAUCGUGCUUAGCCAUCGUUUGUCAGUCAGUCCCUGCGUACGCAAGCAGUGCAGAGUUGAGAGUGGAUUGGUUGGUUUGUGGCAUUACGUUGCUACUUUUGCUAACUUUAUAGUGUUCGUCGGUUCCUGUUAUUAUCCAGCAACAAUUUUUUGCCAGUGAGCUCAAAGGUCACUUGAUUAUACAAUAGAUAAAAUGGCCCCCAAAGAACCAUCCCCGUUGGUCAAACUCUACCUCAUACUGUACAACGGUGCACAGGUCUUAGGAUGGUCCUACAUGCUUUACCAGCUCGUUGCAUACUACUCUUUCGACAACGGCAAUGGGAAACCUCUCUGGGAUUACCUAGGAACUACUGUGAUCAUUUUCCAAAAUGCAGCCGUCCUUGAGAUCAUACACGCAGCCACGCGAAUUGUUCCGAGCAACCCGGUCAUUACCACAUUCCAGGUCCUAUCCCGGGUGAUGGUCGUAUGCGGUGUCGUGCUGGCGACUCCGACAGGAAAGUCUUCCCCUGGCCUUCCGUUGGCUCUGCUCGCGUGGUCUAUCACCGAAAUCAUUCGGUACGGUUACUACGCCCUGAACCUGGUGAACGCGGUUCCGCACGUACUGAUCUUUCUUCGGUACACUACCUUCAUCGCACUCUACCCGAUCGGGGUGACGGGUGAGCUGUUGUGCUUCUACUGGGCCCAGAGUUACGUCCGCGAGUCGAAGCAGUGGAGCAUUGAGAUGCCCAAUUCGUACAACUUUACCUUUUCGUACUUCUACUUCCUGUGGCUGGUAAUGCUGCUGUACAUUCCACUGUUCCCGCAGAUGUAUCUGCACAUGUUUGCCCAGCGACGGAAAAUUUUGGGCGGCGGCAGCAAGCAGAAGGUGAAAUAGAACACUCGCAUGGUGUGGCCUGCUAAUUUACUCUGCAGGACAGGUCUCAACAGAUUCUUGUUUUACUCAAUGGUACAAGGCACUCUAGUAGAUGAAUAACGAAACUACGUUUAGUGUGGAAAGGUUUUUUUUUCAUUUAAGCAUCUAAACACGCCUUCUCUAUUUAAUGCUCAAAAUUCCAUACACACUCAAUUGCGACUUGAGAGCGUGACAGGUGGAGGAAAACGUAUGAAUGAAGAAUAAAAGAAUCUGCAGCGGAAGUUAAUGACGCACUUGACGCAAGCAACGAAUGAGCUACUGUUGACCUGUUAAAGUAUAAUAUGUUACAUGUUUUUUUCUCGAAUACUGUGCAA